rfam:Gossypium raimondii chromosome 4, whole genome shotgun sequence.
AGAGAAAUGGCCUAGUGGUUCAAGGCGUAGCAUUGGAACUGCUAUGUAGACUCUUGUUUAUCGAGGGUUCAAAUCCCUCUCUUUCUG